CUCCAUGCUUCCAUGGGACCUGCUAGUGUGGCAGCCUCCCUUCCUACUCAUGGUAGAACAAACGUCAACUUGCUUUGGCAUAGCUCCCCCACCAUUACAUUGGGGAGAGUUUCUGACUUGGGCAAGUAACAUGU